ACAGGGGCCCAGCAGUUGUGCCAUACAUCUGUGAAGUUAUUGGCAGAGAGGAUGUCACUGGAUGGAACAUGUGGCAGCUGUAAGAGAAGGAAAAAAACAAUGGUGUGGCCUUGCCUCUUCUCAUUCACUCAUGGGAAAGCUGCUGUGGAAUACUCCUGCACCCUGAAGAAAUUGUGACUGUGCUUCUCUAAUGUUCAGGAUUCACUCAGGAAUUGCAGCGAAAUGCCCUGAUCGUAGGAGGUGUGAAGUGUGUUUUGCAAACCAGCAUUUGUCUGAAAGCACUCAGCCCCACCUCAAAUCUGAAUGGAGAACAGUCUGCUUUAAGAUUUUUUCCAAAGCUUGGAUUAGACUGGAAUAGUUCAGCUGGAAGAGUCCUAUGAGGAUUAUCUAGUCCAACUGUCCAUUUCAGAUUUUUGCUUUGACUUGGAUCUGAAGUGGCUGCAGCCACAAGGCAGAGCAGUGACCACUCUACAACCACAGCUGCCCCGGUGUCUGUGCUGUCACCACUCAUGGACCUUGAAAGCUUGCCUUAUUCUGAUGCUAUGUCUAGUGGUGCCUCAGCACUCGAUUUGGGUAGGAGAAU